UACAGAGGCCUCAAGCGUUAGGCGGAAUCACUGGGCUUAAAGCGUGUGUAGGCGGUCCGGUAAGUCCUGUGUGAAAUCCCUCGGCUCAACUGAGGAACUGCACGGGAGACUGCCGGGCUUGAGUUCGGGAGAGGGAAGCGGAAUUCCGGGUGUAGCGGUGAAAUGCGUAGAUAUCGAGAGGAACACCUGCGGCGAAGGCGGGUAGCUGGGCCGACACUGACGCUGAUGCGCGAAAGCCAGGGGAGCGAACGGG
rnacentral:rRNA from 1 species